rnacentral:rRNA from 1 species
GACGAACGCUGGCGGCGUGCCUAAUACAUGCAAGUCGAGCGAAGUUUUUCUGGUGCUUGCACUAGAAAAACUUAGCGGCGAACGGGUGAGUAACACGUAAAGAACCUGCCUCAUAGACUGGGACAACUAUUGGAAACGAUAGCUAAUACCGGAUAACAGUAUUUCUCGCAUGAGAGAUAUUUAAAAGUUGGUUAUGCUAACACUAUGAGAUGGCUUUGCGGUGCAUUAGCUAGUUGGUGGGGUAAAGGCCCACCAAGGCGACGAUGCAUAGCCGACCUGAGAGGGUGAUCGGCCACACUGGGACUGAGACACGGCCCAGACUCCUACGGGAGGCAGCAGUAGGGAAUCUUCCGCAAUGGGCGAAAGCCUGACGGAGCAACGCCGCGUGAGUGAAGAAGGAUUUCGGUUCGUAAAGCUCUGUUGUUAGGGAAGAAUGGAUAUGUAGUAACUAUACAUGUAAGAGACGGUACCUAACCAGAAAGUCACGGCUAACUACGUG